GCUGUUGAUUCUAAAGGCACGAAAACCAAAUUGUGAUUCUGGUUGUCGUGGGUUCGAGUCCCAUCAGCCACCCCA
rnacentral:tRNA from 1 species